UACGUAGGUCCCGAGCGUUGUCCGGAUUUAUUGGGCGUAAAGCGAGCGCAGGUGGUUUAUUAAGUCUGGUGUAAAAGGCAGUGGCUUAACCAUUGUAUGCAUUGGAAACUGGUAGACUUGAGUGCAGGAGAGGAGAGUGGAAUUCCAUGUGUAGCGGUGAAAUGCGUAGAUAUAUGGAGGAACACCGGUGGCGAAAGCGGCUCUCUGGCCUGUAACUGACACUGAGGCUCGAAAGCGUGGGGAGCGAACAGG
rnacentral:rRNA from 1 species